UCGACAUAAUACUGCCCUGUGCGCCGGAA
rnacentral:sRNA from 1 species